rnacentral:rRNA from 1 species
UACGAAGGGGGCUAGCGUUGUUCGGAAUCACUGGGCGUAAAGGGCGCGUAGGCGGCCGAUCAAGUCGGGGGUGAAAGCCUGUGGCUCAACCACAGAAUUGCCUUCGAUACUGGUUGGCUUGAGACCGGAAGAGGUAAGUGGAACUGCGAGUGUAGAGGUGAAAUUCGUAGAUAUUCGCAAGAACACCAGUGGCGAAGGCGGGUCUCUGGGCCGAUAUUGACGCUGAGGAGCGAAAGCGUGGGGAGCGAACAGG